GGCUCCGCAGGUCACAAACAUCCGCUGGCUGCGGCCGGGCCCGGUGCCCGGGCUGGCGACAUUCCUGCCGCGGUGCGUGGCCAGCGCCGCACCUCCUCUUCCUCCUGCGGGCAGGGGCCGGCACGGGGCGGGCAGGGGCGGGCAGCGGUACGGACGAGGUCUGGCAGUGGUACAGGCAGGGAGCCGGAGCUGCUGGUGCUGCACCUUGCCCGGCUCGUUCAACCGGCGCUGUAACCCCUUGUCUGCCGCGUCCUGGCUGUGCCGGUGCCCGGGGGGGGUGCUGGGUGCAGGGUGCAGGGUGCUGGGUGCUGGUGCUGUCCCCUACCUGGCUGCUUCUCGAUGAGCUCCGGCU